rnacentral:rRNA from 1 species
AGGGCAAGUCUGGUGCCAGCAGCCGCGGUAAUUCCAGCUCCAAUAGCGUAUAUUAAAGUUGUUGCAGUUAAAAAGCUCGUAGUUGAAUUUCGGGGUUCUACCGUUGGUCGGGCUAUUGUCUGUACUGGCGUGUAGAAUUUCUACCUUCUGGAGAACUGUCAUGUUAUUAAUUUAGCGUGGUAGGAAACCAGGACCUUUACCUUGAAAAAAUUAGAGUGUUCAAAGCAGGCUUAUAUCUGAAUACAUUAGCAUGGAAUAAUAAAAUAGGACGGUGGUCCUGUUUUGUUGGUUUCUGAAUCACCGUAAUGAUUAAUAGGGAUAGUUGGGGGCAUUAGUAUUCAAUUGUCAGAGGUGAAAUUCUUGGAUUUAUUGAAGACUAACUACUGCGAAAGCAUUUGCCAAGGAUGUUUUCAUUAAUCAAGAACGAAAGUUAGGGGAUCGAAGACGAUCAGAUACCGUCGUAGUCUUAACCAUAAACUAUGCCGACUAGGGAUCGGACGAUGUUAACUUUUCUUGACUCGUUCGGCGCCUACGGGAA